rnacentral:rRNA from 1 species
CAGUCGCCACGGUAAUACGUAGGGUGCAAGCGUUAAUCGGAAUUACUGGGCGUAAAGGGCUCGCAGGCGGUUUCUUAAGUCUGAUGUGAAAGCCCCCGGCUCAACCGGGGAGGGUCAUUGGAAACUGGGAAACUUGAGUGCAGAAGAGGAGAGUGGAAUUCCACGUGUAGCGGUGAAAUGCGUAGAGAUGUGGAGGAACACCAGUGGCGAAGGCGACUCUCUGGUCUGUAACUGACGCUGAGGAGCGAAAGCGUGGGGAGCGAACAGGAUUAGAUACCCCCGUAGUCCCUGUCUCUUAUAC